rnacentral:lncRNA from 1 species
AAGUAAAAUUUUCCACCUGCAUCAAUAACCAAAAAUAUUUUUUAGAUGUCAUAUUUCUUGUCUUGAAAUUUGAUGUGAUGAUGACACAUCAGUGGUUUUUGCUCUCGCUUUAAAUGCAUUACUCACAGCUUUCGGUGACAUCACCUACCCUGUAGUUAUUGCAGUUAAAUUGCCAUUACUAAAUGUGCUGGUAAGCGAACCUGUCUCAACCUGGACCCAUUUAGCCUGCCUGAUUCACCCUGGACCCGACCCAUCUAACCGGAACCGUUGGAUUUGCAGGUUGAGUAUGUGUAAAAAUGUCCCCAACCUGCCAGCUGGUUGGGUCAGGUUUGGAUCAAAGCCUCUGAAGCAGUCGGGUCAGAACAGUUGAAGCCUUUAGCUGGGUACUUGGGUAAAAGUAGAUACAUAACCAAAAAAUUUAAGCAUACUGGAUAAUAUGAACCAUUUGAAAUGUGUUGCUAUUGGGUAGUUGUUACUUGUCACAAGAAACAGGCGGUUCUUAAUGUAUGCCCAAUGUACAGUUUAAAGCAGCCCAAAAAAGUGCAAAAUGAACCUUCAAAACUUGUUCAUUUUUGGGUGCCUAAACAAUAAAAAGCCCCAAAAUCAAAUGUGCCUGAGACUUUGGCAGAUCAGCUUGUUAGGUCUUUGGCUAAGCCUGGUUGACUUGGGUUGGGUGUGACCCCUAUGGACGAUAUAAGGCAUUGGCCUGACCUGAACACAAGGCAAGCCAACCCAUUGCCACUCCUAGUUAUUGCAAUUUCUGAUGAGCAGAUGUUUUCUUUGAAUAUCAAAAAUCAAAUUAUAGUUGUUUUUGAUAAUUGUUGUUCCCUCAUUUUCAUUAUGUCUGUGCUCUGUUUAGUUAAGCAAGCCUCACACCAUGUCUCACUGUGUACUUUAAAUCUUAGAACAAAUUAGACACUAGCAGGCCAAUUGGUGGAUCAGUGCUUGUUCGUGUUUGCAGAUGUGCUUUAUCCUCAUCAGCCAUUCCCUCAUUUCAUAGGAUCAUAAGGUAUUGAGCAAUAAUUUUUGUGUCCUGUA